AUUGAACGCUGGCGGCAGGCUUAACACAUGCAAGUCGAACGAUGACUAACUAGCUUGCUAGUUAUGAUUAGUGGCGGACGGGUGAGUAACAUUUAGGAAUUUGCCUAGUAGUGGGGGAUAGCUCGGGGAAACUUGAAUUAAUACCGCAUACGACCUACGGGUGAAAGGGGGCGCAAGCUCUUGCUAUUAGAUGAGCCUAAAUCAGAUUAGCUAGUUGGUGGGGUAAAGGCCUACCAAGGCGACGAUCUGUAAAUGGUUUGAGAGGAUGAUCAGUCACACCGGAAAUGAGACACGGUCCGGACUCCUACGGGAGGCAGCAGUGGGGAAUAUUGGACAAUGGGGGCAACCCUGAUCCAGCCAUGCCGCGUGUGUGAAGAAGGCCUUUUGGUUGUAAAGCACUUUAAGCAGGGAGGAGAGGGUAAUGGUUAAUACCCCUUAGAUUAGACGUUACCUGCAGAAUAAGCACCGGCUAACUUUGUG
rnacentral:rRNA from 1 species